AGUGAACGCUGGCGGCAUGCUUUACACAUGCCAGUCGAACGGCAGCACGGUAAGGCUUUCUUCUCUCUCGUCGCGUGUCGCAGGCGGGUGUAUAGCAUCGCAACGUGCCCUGUAGUGGGGGGUAUACAGACGGAAGAUUGGCUCUUACCGCGCAUACGCCCUGCGGGUAAGUAGAGGACCUCAAUAAACCUUUCCCCUAUUUAUUAGGCCGAUGUCGGAUUAGCUAGUUGGUGGGGUAAAGCCCCACCAAGGCAAGGAUCCGUAGCGGGUCUGAGAGGACGAUCAGCCACACUGGAACUGAGACACGGUCCAGACUCCUACGGGAGGCAGCAGUGGGGAAUUUUGGACAAUGGGCGAAAGCCUGAUCCAGCCAUGCCGCGUGGAUGAAGAAGGCCUUAGGGUUGUAAAGCACUUUUGUUAGGGAAGAAAAGCUGGUGUUUAAUAAAAAGCAGUGAUGACGGUACCUAAAGAAUAAGCACCGGCUAACUUCGUG
rnacentral:rRNA from 1 species